rnacentral:tRNA from 2 species
GGGCGCUUAGCUCAGCGGAAGAGCUCUCGGUUUACACCCGAGCGGUCGGCGGUUCGAACCCGUCAGCGCCCA